rnacentral:rRNA from 1 species
ACACGUAGGGGGCAAGCGUUGUCCGGAUUUAUUGGGCGUAAAGAGCUCGUAGGUGGCUGAGUAAGUCGGAUGUUAAAUCUCCAGGCUCAACCUGGAACACCUUCCGAUACUGCUCUGGCUAGAGUCCGGUAGGGGAGUGUGGAAUUCCUGGUGUAGCGGUGAAAUGCGCAGAUAUCAGGAGGAACACCAGCGGCGAAGGCGGCACUCUGGGCCGGUACUGACACUGAGGAGCGAAAGCAUGGGUAGCAAACAGGAUUAGAAACCCUAGUAGUCC